GACCUGGGCUGAGAGAGCAGCUGACUGAAGCAGCAUGACUAAUGGUUUCUUCACUUCUCAGAGUCAUCAAUCCCAGCCGCCGAUCCAGAGCCCGAAUCCUCACUGAGCAUGCUCCAAUCAGGUCCGCAACCCUUCACCAGAGAGUGAUUUAUUCAGUAUUUCUCUAUUUAUUCAUGUUUGCUCUGCCCUCGGAGGAGUCUCCGCCUGCCAGGAAAAUCUUACCUUGGGAGUUUUAAUGCUUUCUGAACGCUUCGGUUGCACAAGUGUUCCCUUAUUUUGGGUAAUUAUUUUCUCUUUCAAGUUUGGGCUCUGUGUUUUUCUCUGCGAGUUCAGACACGGGUCAGUGUUGGAGAUAAAAAAGGAAAGAAAAGAAAAAAGGGUCCGGCUGGAGGAAUUUGACUUUCAAAUAUUUUCCAACUGCUAAUUAAAAAUAGAAACACAGUUUUGAAAGUAAAUGAAGCACAUCUGCAUUCAUGAGUACACAGAGGCCGUCAUUAAAACACACACAGCUCAGAGUUUGGAUGAUACUGCCAGGUUGAAUUCACUCUGUUUUUCUGCACUGAAGUAGAAUCGUUUCAAUGAGACAUAAGGAGGAGGUUCAAUAGCAAAUAAAUGUGGUUAAAAAAUGUGCAAAAUGUGACUCUGACUAACGGCCUGUCACUAAAAUGUCCGAGGACAAAGUCACACUUUCAUGGAGUGAGAUGUGAAGAUCAAGAUUUGGUCUAAUUUUAUUUUUUAACUGAAGCAAAACAAGCCGAUCAAAAACAACCCGAACGCUGACUCAUGUUUUAUUUACUCCCACAGACAGAAGAAUUAAAGUUCAGUUACUCUCUGAUCCGCCAAGACUGCUUCGUGUUGAACAAACGGCGAGCAGCUUCCUGAAGUCGUGUUGUUGUUGUUUUCAGAAGUUCGAGCGGGGUCACGUUUACGCUUGUGUUGUUAGUGAACCCAGGAGACCAGGUUCUGGAGUCUGGAGAGUCAUGAGAGGAUUUCAGCUGCUCAGCAGUUCAGAGUCUCUUAUCAUGGUUUUUGUUUCAUAAUGGGGGACGAGUCAGGACCACAUCAGUCCAGGACUCUUCUCCUACAGAGCCAUGCUGUUGAAGAAUGUGGUUUGAGAUCAUCUGAAGGUCUUCUCUGAUAAAGUCUUUGUCUGGAUGGACGCAGAUGUUGCUCCAAAACCUGGAG